rnacentral:rRNA from 1 species
AUGCUGAAGCUUGACAUUCAACGUGCCUUCGACACGAUGUCCUGGGAGUUCCUGCUUGAACUGUUGACCGCAAGGGGUUUUGGGAGAAACUUCACCAACUGCUUGUCUGCACUGCUCAGUACCUCCUCCACAAGAAUUCUUGUUAACGGUGAGCUCUCCGAGAAGAUCGAUCUAAUGAAGGGACUCAGGCAGGGAGACCCCCUCUCUCCACUCCUAUUCAUCUUCGUGAUGGACUGCCUGGUAGUCCUGAUUGACAAGGCAGCGAACAUGGGGAUUCUGGGCCCUAUGGGAGACCAAAAAUUGUCGUUCCGAGCAUCAUUAUACGUGGACGAUGAGGUUCUGUUCAUCAACCCUUGCCAGCGCGAGAUUCUUGCCGUGAGCCAAAUCCUAAAGCUGUUCGGUGAUGCCACGGAUCUGCGCACGAACCUUGCAAAGUCAUCCGUGUCCCCCAUCUGCUGCGCAGGGACAAAUCUGCGCAAGAAUUGCUACAAGACCUGA